UACGUAGGGUGCGAGCGUUAAUCGGAAUUACUGGGCGUAAAGCGUGCGCAGGCGGCUUGCCAAGUCAGAUGUGAAAGCCCCGGGCUCAACCCGGGAACGGCGUUUGAAACUGGCAGGCUAGAGUUGGCAGAGGGGGUGGAAUUCCGCGUGUAGCAGUGAAAUGCGUAGAUAUGCGGAGGAACACCGAUGGCGAAGGCAAUCCCGUGGGCCUGUACUGACGCUCAUGCACGAAAGCGUGGGAGCAACAGG
rnacentral:rRNA from 1 species